rnacentral:rRNA from 1 species
GACGGAGGGUGCUAGCGUUGUUCGGAAUUACUGGGCGUAAAGGGCGCGUAGGCGGCCUGUUAAGUCGAACGUGAAAUCCCCGGGCUCAACCCGGGAACUGCGUCCGAUACUGGUAGGCUUGAAUCCGGGAGAGGGAUGCGGAAUUCCAGGUGUAGCGGUGAAAUGCGUAGAUAUCUGGAGGAACACCGGUGGCGAAGGCGGCAUCCUGGACCGGCAUUGACGCUGAGGCGCGAAAGCCAGGGGAGCAAACGGG